AGGUUAAGCUACAAAGGGCGCAUGGCGAAUGCCUUGGCACUAGGAGCCGAAGAAGGACGCGUUAAGCUGCGAUAAGCUUUGGGUAGGCGCAAAUAGCCUGUGAUCCAAAGAUUUCCGAAUGGGGGAACCCACAUAGUAACAACUAUGUACURCAUACUGAAUAAAUAGGUAUGCAGAGGUAGACCCGGGGAACUGAAA
rnacentral:rRNA from 1 species